GCUUGCUUCAGCAGCAUACAUUUAACUAAAAUGGAACAAUAUGGAGAAAACUAGCAUGGUUGCUGCAUAAGGGUGACACAAAUUUUUGAAGAAUUUCAUAAAUUAAA
ensembl:snRNA U6 U6 spliceosomal RNA